GACUUAAGCAUAUCAGUAGGCGGAGGGAAGAGAAACGAACGAGGACUCCCCCAGUAACGGCGAGUGAAGAGGGACGCAGCCCAGGCUGAGAACCGGCCGCCUGGCGGCCGGGGUGUGGCCUGCAGGGGCGCCGCGCCCGCCGGCCCGGCCCGCGCGAAGUCCCUUGGAAGAGGGCGCCAGGGAGGGUGAGAGCCCCGUGGAGCGCGCGGAGUCCGCGGCGCAGCGCCGGCGUGCGAGCGAGCGAGCGGGCGCCCCGACGAGUCGAGCUGCUUGGGACUGCAGCUCGAAGCGGGUGGUAAGCCCCACCCAAGGCUGAGCACCCGUGGGAGACCGAUAGCGGACAAGUACCGCGAGGGAAAGGUGCAAAAGGACUCUGGAGAGAGAGUGCAAGAGUGCCUGAACGUGCUGAGAGGGAAGCGAGGGGCGGGGGUGGCGCACGCGAGUGCGGGUCGCCCGCGGCGCGCGGCGCGGACCGCUGGCGUGGACCCG
rnacentral:rRNA from 1 species